UUUCGGAUGUGUUGGCGGCGGCCAGGGCGGCAGCAGUUGGGCCGGGACCCGCGGGCGGUGUGGUCGGAGGAGAGCAGAGGGCUAGCCUGCGGCCCGAAGCGCGGACACUGUCGCGGAUCCCUGAGUUCCGAGGGGAAGGAUGGAACGACACCGGCCGCGCCUGCACGCCGCAGCGCAUGGCCCCGCCGCGGGGGCCCCCUAUCCCUCCUCCGCCUCGGUCCGCAGCCGCCGCGAGAGCAAGAUGCCGCGCAAGAAGGGUCCCCAGUACGCUGCGCCGCCCGGCGGCCCCGAGGAAACUGGGGAAAAACGCCCCAAGUUUUUGGACAAAUUUGCCAGCAUAAGAAUUCCAGGGACCAAGAAAGAGAGACCUCCACUUCCCAACUUGAAAACUACAUUUGCAAGCAGCUACUAUUCUUCAGCAUCUUCAGAAAUGAUGGAAAACUUUCCAAAGCCACUGACAGAGAAUGAACUCUUAGAACUUUUUGAAAAGAUGAUGGUGAGAAUUUUGAUUCCUUAUGAAAUGCUUGAGGAAAAAGCCUUAGCUUUUUCUCAU
rnacentral:lncRNA from 1 species